UCUCCAGCAGCCGUGCCAGACUGGCCAGGUGGUCAAUGAAGCCAUUGGUGUCUGGUACAAGGAACAAGGGUCUGAUCUCGAGCUCCAUCUGCCUCAUCUGACUCUGGUCCUCCAGGACAGCCUACAGGGACACAGAACGCAGCAGGAGUCCAUGAGGUGUGAUGGAUUUGGACCCAACUCACAUGCUUGCAAAGAGCAACACCAAGGCUGAUGAGAACCGCCACCGCCCACCCUCCAGCAGAGUGUUUCCUAAACAUUUUACCCGUCAGAUUCCUGGCAGCUGUGCACGGCGCCUGUGCCGGCCGUCACGUCCCAUUCCGAUCUCUGGGUCGCACGGUGAGAGAAGGACACAGGAUGCGCAGGGAGUGAAAAAGUGAUGUCGGUGGGGAGAG